rnacentral:tRNA from 1 species
AAUAGAAUGCCUGAUAAAAGGAUUAUCUUGAUAGGAUAAAUAAUACAAUUAACCUUGUUUCUAUUA